rnacentral:ribozyme from 12 species
ACAUAGACACACAUUGACUCUGAGAGAAAAAAAAAAAAAAGAAGAAAAAAAAACGAAUAAUGAUGAUUGGAUGCUUUUGGGUAUAACUCGUUUUU